UCAUGACGGCCGCACAUUGAGUGAAGUUUCUAUUUCUGUUGUGUAUUACCUUAACAAAAAUGAAUUCAGUAGAAUGUUGUAAAAUUAUUUAAGAUUUAAACAUUGAAACAAUGGGACUUCUGGAAGAAGGAACACCAUUGUCUUGGGAAGAUACUAAACGUUAUGCUAGUCAUGUAAAAUCUCACGGAAUAAUCCAGUUUAUUAAUCAGUAUCACAAGCAGCGUGAUAGGACAAACGAUUCGCUUUUAUGGGGUGAUGAGGUCGAGUACAUGAUCGUCAAAUUUGACCACAAAAAUAAAACAGCAAGGCUCAGUUUGAAAGGAUCCUCAGUUCUCAAAGAACUUCAUACUGCCGGAAGAAAAAUCGCCGACGCUCAUAUCGCAGCAUGGAGACCAGAGUACGCAGACUACAUGUUAGAAAGUUCGCCGGCAAAUCCCUACCACGGAAAUAUGGUUGAUCUUACCCUCCCUGAAUAUAACAUGCGACAGAGGAGACAGGAGUUGACGUUGUGUUUAGAAACAGACGAAUUUCUUGUUGCAUUAACUACUUUCCCAAGGCUAGGAUGUUACAAUUGCACUUAUCCCACGUCUAAUCCUACUCCAGAUUCUAUGCAAUCGCAUUCCCGUUUCCUUUCAGAGAAAAUUAUAUCACACGAUUUUCCAAAAUAUAGAUUAUUUGAAGAACAUAUACGAGAGAGAAGGGGAAAACAAGUUCAAAUAAAUAUACCAGUAUAUAAAGAUAUUCAUACUGUUGAUCCUUUACAAGAAGACUUGUCAUCUAAGCACUGGAGCAUAGAUAAUGUACCAAAGGUGGGCAAGACAGACCAUAUCUUCAUGGAUAAUUCUGGAUUUGGUGCGGGAAGCUGUUGUUUACAAGUUACAGUACAGGCUAAUGAUAUUCGAGAGGCAAAGUAUUUGUACGACCAGUUCAUUAUCCUCUGUCCAAUAAUGGUUGCGUUGAGUGCAGCAGCACCGGUCAAUAGAGGAUAUCUCUCUGAUUUGGAUACAAGAUGGACAGUGAUAUCACAGGCAAUGGACGAUAGAACUGAUGAAGAACUGGGGCUAAAAGUUCUAAAGGAAAAUAAGUUCGUGAUAAACAAGUCCAGGUAUGAUUCAGUAGACAGCUACUUGACCUGCUCUGCUUGCAGUGACGUAAAGCUUGUGUAUGACAGAGAUAUAUUUUUAAAACUGAAACAAGAAGGUGUGGACGACAUGUUGUCAAAACAUAUUGCUCAUGUAUUUAUCAGAGACCCUCUUACCAUUUUCACGGAAAGUCUUAACCAAAACGACAAUGAAAGUACUGGCCAUUUUGAGAAUAUUUACAGUUCGACAUGGCAAUCGGUCAGAUUUAAACUCCCAGCCCCAGGCAGCAAUGCAGGUUGGCAAAUCGAAUUUCGAGCUAUGGAUGUACAACUUACUGAUUUUGAAAAUGCUGCUUACAUAGUAUUUAUCAUUUUGACCUCGAGGGUAAUUCUUACAUUUGGAUUGAAUUUCGUGGUACCCAUAUCUAAAGCUGAUGAAAAUUUCUCACGGUCUCACAAGAGAGAUGCCAUCACAAGUGAAACAUUUUACUUCAGAAAUGAUUUAACAGGCAGAUGUUGCUGUGAAAACGCCGACGAAGAGUAUGAUCAGAUGACGGUUAACGAAAUAGUAAAUGGCAAGCGCCUGACAAAUUCGUAUUCUUGAUGAACAACAUAAUGCAUUAGAUUACAGACUUUUGAAAACAUUCCCCAGAAAUACCUUCAAAGAUACUUUACCUCAUUUGUUAAAAACUUUGUUGGACUCGUCCCUCUCAUCAACAAGUACCUGGAUAUGAUUGACGUUGACUUUCUCACCAGAAGAAAAAUUCAAGAUUACUUAUAUUUGGUUUCAAGUCGUGCCUCUG
rnacentral:misc_RNA from 1 species